rnacentral:rRNA from 1 species
CCUACGGGUGACAGCAGUGAGGAAUAUUGGGCAAUGGAGGCAACUCUGACCCAGCCAUGCCGCGUGAGUGAAGAAGGUUCUCGGAUUGUAAAGCCCUUUCGGAUGUGACGAUGAUGACGGUAGCAUCUAAAGAAGCCCCGGCUAACUUCGUGCCAGCAGCCGAGGUAAUAUGAAGGCGGCCAGCGUUGUUCGGAAUUACGGGGCGUAAAGGGGGUGUAGGCGGUUUAGUAAGAUAGCCGGUAAAUCCCAGAGCUUAACUUUGGAAUUGCCAUUAUAACUAUUAGACUAGAGUUACAGAGGGGAUGGCGGAAUACCCAGUGUAGAGGUGAAAUUCAUAGAUAUUGGGUAGAACUCCGGUGGCGAAGGCGACUAACUGGCUGUACAUUGACGCUGAGGCUCGAAAGCAUGGGGAUCAAACAGGAUUAGAUACCCGAGUAGUC